UACAGAGGUCCCAAGCGUUGUUCGGAUUCACUGGGCGUAAAGGGUGCGUAGGUGGCGGGGUAAGUCAGGUGUGAAAUCUCGGAGCUCAACUCCGAAACUGCACUUGAUACUGCCUUGCUCGAGUACUGGAGAGGAGAUUGGAAUUUACGGUGUAGCAGUGAAAUGCGUAGAUAUCGUAAGGAAGACCAGUGGCGAAGGCGAAUCUCUGGACAGUUACUGACACUGAGGCACGAAGGCCAGGGGAGCAAACAGG
rnacentral:rRNA from 1 species